GAAGAAACAAUUAACGAUCGUGUUAGAAUCUCUGACUCUCCGGCAAACAGGAGUCGAUUAUUUCAUGGUUGAAUCAAUACCGAAGAAAAAAACUUAAGAAAGAAAAAAAUAGGGAAAAAUCUAAGUCUUCCAACGAUUCAUAUUGGAGUGAUUCCCUCCGCUAUAUAUACGGCUGAACAGAAGGUUGCACGAACGAUUCUUGGCAUUUUCCAAGCCCUUACAAACAAAGAACAACAAUUCAGGAUUAUAACAGACGAUGUCUUCGCUAAAUCAAGAAAAAUAUGCUAUCAUCAUCCGCAAGCAAAGCAUAUUCUUUGUCGGGUAUCGGACUUCAGCCAUUUACCGAAAUCAAUUUUUUGGCAGAAAAUAUAGACGAAGUACAACCGCAUGCAGAUAUAACGAUGGAAUAAAGUUCUCGGGUUUUAAAUUCUAUUAAUUCCUCACCACGUAUCCGUUGAAGGCUACAGUUUCGUAGCCGAAAACUUGUAAAAAAUGAAUAAAAUUUAAAAGCAGAGAA